rnacentral:lncRNA from 1 species
UUGGAAGGUUUGCUAUUUAGGGAUAAUACUUAAACUAUCCUAUUUUACGGCUCAUUUGCUAGAAAAUGCCUGUGAAGCAAACAGCUUUAUCAAACCUUAUCAAUGAGUAAAGGAUGUCAAAGGAGGGUGUUUCUGCUAUCUGGUGUUAAAUGUGGCUGCUGCUAAGUCUUCUAAUUUUUACUAACUUCUGUUAAUUAAACACUCUUCCAUGAGUGUUUGGUGAUAACAAGCUGCUAAAACACUCUUGAAAACCAGCACAGAGACCCACCACAGGGCCAGAGGAUUUCCAUCUCUUCCUGUUAAGGCUGCUUAUAGGCUGGGGUAAUUUAGGGUGGCUGCAGUGGGUGGGGGGAGGGAUGGAUGACCCCUCCUUGUGCCACCCUGUAGAGCUCUGAUCAACUCCAGGUGACUUAGUCCUAGCCACAGCUGAAGCAAUCCCAUUAAGAAAGCUCAGGUGCGGUAUCCUAUUUAACACUUAAUCUAAUUAUCAGGAUUUGGUUUCCCUUUCUAAAGAUCCCAGGUUAUAUAUUCCUUCUGGAUUCUCAUGGUGAAGCUCUUCUUUCUUCUGGAAGUAUGAAGGUACCUUUGCUCUUGUUCUUUCUCCUUGCUGAGCUUCAGGGCAGGAGAGCAGGGGUCUUUGGGACCAGCUGAAAUCCAGCACUGAUGUUGCAGUGGAUGCACCUGGGCUCUAAGAUGGCUGCUCCUGGAUCUCUUCAAGUCUCAUGGCCCUGCACCGCUCUUCAGGAAGCUCUUUGGUGUGAGCCAAAAUGUGGAGUUGCAGACCCAUCCAUCAGGACAAGCUGUUGGCAUUCUUCACCCAAGAACAGAAGCUGCAGGGAACAGGAGAGGCUGGGACUGAAACCUCCACCACAGUAAGUAGAUCUUGGGACUAAUGUGAAGCUUCAAAACCAUUCUUUGAGUUUUCCAACAAACGUAAGGAGCCAGUGA